AGACUUCUCUAUGCGGUUGUCUUCUAAAAGCCCGACGCAGCCAUGGCGAGGUCCCGCUGGCAGCGGCGAGGGAUUGUGAUGAGAUAAUUGCGCGGUUAGGGGCAUUGUUCAAUGCCGACAAGAGAAUGAUUAUGGGGUUCUACCUGCUGUUUCUUGUGCAAAAGAGCAGGAGGAAGAAGAAGCGCGUCGACCUUACACGUGAUUCGAGGCUUAUCUCCCAAGUUAUGUGGCUUUACUCAAGUAGCAAGCACGCCUGUGGAUGCUUCUUGUGAACCUUAUACGUGCUUCUGAAGGACGGUGGUUGCCGCUCUGAUGCUUACAAAGAUGUGGCAAAACUCGUUCAUGAUCACCCCGAAGUGCUCGAGGAGUUUCACCACUUCUUAGGACAAGCAUCAAAUAUUUCUCACCGUGAACAAUCACAUAGCUUACUUGCCGUCGAGAAGUCCUAUAACUCAUCAAGAUAUGCUCAGAAGGUGAGUGAAAUUAGUAAUGUUAAUACCGAUCAUGAGCAAACUGAAAAGAGACAGCAUGAUGAAAUGGAUACUAGGGAAGACACUACAAGAGCAGGCCAUAAGAGCAAUAUGACGUUUUCAGGGAUUUAUAAUCUGACAGGUUUCUUGUGCACUGAAGGGUAUACUCUUAGACUCGUAAACAGUGAACAGAGAAGAAGAGUCAGGGAUAAAAAUGUAGAUGAAAGGAAGAAAUCAAGAGAAUGUAAACGUGAGGAGGACAAAGAAGAGGAAGAACUCGGAAUUUCAAAUUAUUCAUCAUAUAAAAAAGUUGAGAGAACCUACCAGUAGUCAUAGGACACCUCUUGAAAAUUCAGUACUCAAUAAUGAUUGAAUAUUACCGGCUGACAGUGGAAGUUAUGGCUCUAAACCGGAACCCAACAAAUACCCGGAACAACUAUUCAAGUGUGAAGAUGCCAUGUUUGAGUUUCAUAUGUUACUUGAACGAGUAAAGACGACAGUCAUGAGAGUAGAGGAGAGAAUAGAAAAGAUGGCAGAUGAAAUAAGCAGUCCAAAAUUUCAAAUUCAAAUGAAAGAAGCCUUCACAUCUUCCAAUUUGAGAUGUAUCGAACAAAUAUUCGAACCUUAUGGGCUUGAUGUGCUGGAGAACAUACGCCGUGAUGCAAGAAAAGCAUCGCCUGCAAUAUUGCAUCGUCUGAAGGAGAGGGAAGAGUAUAUGAAGGAGAUUCGGGUAGAAUUACAUGAAGUUUGUAAAGAUGCUUUCGCUGAGAACCGUCCUAAACAUUAUAACAGCUGUGGUCUUUGACAUUUUUGCUUUUUGUAUUUAUGCAUUUGGUAUACUAU